CUAACAUGUGUGCGAGUCAUUGGGCGCACUAAACCCACAGGCGAAAUGAGAGUGACGGAGUGGUCGGUCCUUGUGGCCGGCUGCUCUUGGGCUGAUCCCGGGCUCGAGGCCUCCGGCUCUCGGUCCGGUCGGGCACGCGGGGUGAGUCCUCUUUCCCCCGUGACUGUCUGCCGGACGCGUGGGGGCCGUUGGGGUCGAGGGCCUCCCGCCUCAUUGGGCGGGUUGCUUCUACGGAAGGGGGCGCAGGCCCGGGACUUGUCAAGACACCGCACGUGGCCCCAACGUUGGCAGUGGUGCACUCGUUGUGCUGCUGUCGCGGAAAGGGUGGCGCGCGUCAGUAGUCGGCAAGUACCUUGAGCAGACAUGUUAGGACCCGAAAGAUGGUGAACUAUGCCUGGCCAGGAUGAAGCYAGAGGAAACUCUGGUGGAGGUCCGYAGCGAUUCUGACGUGCAAAUCGAUCGUCGGAGCUGGGUAUAGGGGCGAAAGACUAAUCGAACCAUCUAGUAGCUGGUUCCCCCCGAAGUUUCCCUCAGGAUAGCUGGAACUCGCAGCACGAAUUUCAUCCGGUAAAGCGAAUGAUUAGAGGUCUUGGGGACGAAACGUCCUCAACCUAUUCUCAAACUUUAAAUGGGUGAGAUGCCGAGCUUGCUUGAAGGCUGAAGCUCCGGCGACUAAUCAAAGAGUACCUAGUGGGCCAAUUUUGGUAAGCAGAACUGGCGCUGUGGGAUGAACCAAACGUCGAGUUAAGGGGCCUAAAUGGAUGCUCAUUCAGAUCCCAUCGAAAGGCGUUGGUUGCUUAAGACAGCAGGACGGUGGCCAUGGAAGUUGGAAUCCGCUAAGGAGUGUGUAACAACUCACCUGCCGAAGCAACUAGCCCUUAAAAUGGCAUGGCGCUCAAGCAUCCUCCCGAUACUCGACCGCCGGGGCACUACAGGCCUCCGUGUGGCGAGGUCUCGGAAGCCCCGGUGAGUAGGGGGGUCGCAGGGGUGAGCGCAGAAAGGACCGGCGUGGGCCGGCCUGGAGCCGC
rnacentral:rRNA from 1 species